UCUUAAGCUUUAUUCCCAGUAGCCAAAUAUUUCAGUUUUUCUCUAUUUUUCUUGACCAAACUGCCCCUCCUUCCGUCUGAUGUCUGAUGUCUUCGACUCUCCUCUCUCUCCAUAAACUCAGAUCUCCGUCGUCGAUCACACAUAUUCAACUCACUCUGGCCACUACAACAUCGCCGACGUCUGAAGCGGUCUCAUCUGUGGCUUCACGACCAUCACUAUCGACGACGACGACAGACCCGUUGGAAACCUCGAAGGUCAGAUCCAGGCCUCCGUUGAUGACCAAUCCUUUAGAAACCGCCAACAACGACGAGGUCAGGUCCAGAAAUAGUGCCUCUCAUCCAUCUCCGUUACCUCAAAGGUUGUCGUUGGCCUCGAAGUUGAGGAAAUCAUGGCAGACCUCUGCGGCGGCGACGGGGUUGGCGUUGAGGAGGUGUUGGAUGGAUAUGGGUUAGCAAAGAAGUUGUACUUCAGCAGAGACAGAUUGAUGGGGUGCUUCUUUUGGUCAUUGGUAUUGCGAGGUUGAGGCUUUACUGCAGUGCUAUUGACUAUGUGGGUGAUGAAGUGAAUAUGCAAUUCCUUAAUGGAUGUUCUUUGUGACAAAGGAGGAAAUCUGUAUGGUUGGGGUAAUGAGGAUAAUAAUGAGGGUGAAACGGUAUUGUAAUUUUGUACAGUGAUUAAGGUAGGUCUUAGGUCUUUUGUAUUUUUGUAUGACUUGGCUCUAUUAUAAUGUAAUUUUCAUGUUGGGAUGA